AUGGAUAUCCAGUGGCCGGGGCUCGUCACGCCGCAGGCACCACUUGCCCUAGAUCUGGUCUCCUCCCCGUUGACCAGUGGGUUGCGGGCUAGGCCGUCGGUUGGGCCUCCUGUUCCUACUCUAGCCUGCCAGCCCGCUCCCCCCUCUUUAUCGUCAGUUGACGAUUUCCCCCCUCUCUUGUCUGUGGGCCCGGUGCGGCUCUCCGAUGCUUCUGGGCUACCCCCUCCUCCCCCGGACCGCGUGGCCUGUCUGGCCCAGGUGGGCACGGCUCGGUCUGGGUAUUUAUGGAUCCCCCGUGGCUCCGCCCCCCUGCUAGGGUUUUUGGCUUCCGCCGCGGAUUUGCGUUGUUAUCGCCUUCCCAUUUGUCGUCUGGUCAGAUCCACUCCUCCCACGCCCCCUCUCCUCAACUUUGUCGCGGUGCUCUCCAUGGAUAAGUCGCGGGUCUCGUCUUGCGAUGCGGUCUCGGGUAGCAUGCGUCGGCGGGAGGACUCGCCGGGCUCGGGCAUGGAUCUGGAUCUCGAGGCUUCUCUUCGUUCCAAGCUGGAGGCGGAGCAGGUGGCUCGUGAGCAGUUCUCGCCCUCUGCCGCGUUCAUUUGUUGGUCCGGUCCGGCGGGCUGCCGGCCCUCCCCCUGGCGCUUCCUCGUCGGGGACGGGGGGUGGGAUCCUGCCUCCCCCUCCUCCUCCCCCUCUCUCCCGCUGCAUUGCCCCAACUCCUCCGCUCCAAGUAACCCUUCUGCGCUCACCUGCUUCGCCUGUCAUAGGCCUGGGCAUUUCCAAUCUAGAUGCACCAACCCCCCGUUCUGCCUGAUUUGUCGCUCCGAUGGGCACCUCACAGUCAACUGUAUGAAUCGCCAGAAGCCUCCUUCCUUCCUCCAGUUCGGUCUGGGUCUUCCUGGAUGCGCCUUCUUUGCUAUGGAUAGUGAUCUGCCUAUCUUGGAGUCGGCCCCUUCCCUCUCAAAUGCUGCCAUAGUCUCGGUCAAAGACCAAAAGAUAUCGUCCCAAACUCUGCUUGAAGGGCUUCGGAUCUGGGAUGUUGAGGGUUGGGAUUGGCAGGUCAAUCAGCUGUCUGACUAUGAAUUCUCUAUUUUGUUCCCUUCCAAGGACUGCCUCCAUAUGAUUGCCUCUUGCACUAGCUUCACCCUCCCUCUCAAUCAACUGGUGGUUUCUGUGAAGCCUGCUACUUGCAAUGGAAAAGUUGUUGGUCCUCUCUCUCAGGUCUGGGUGCUGGUGGAUGAUGUGCCAGCAGGGCUUCGUUCUUCUUCCUUCCUAAUGGUGUUUGGCUUCUUGAUUGGGAAGCCUGUGGAGGUGGAUUCAGAGUCGCUGGAAAGGGUUGGCCGAGCUCAUAUCAAGAUAUGGUGUGUUGACACGUUAUGUGUUCAUGGAUCUAUUGACGUUUUUCCUCCGCCCAACGGUGUCAGGCUUCGUGUGCGGGUCGAAGGGGCGGAUGCCUUCCACCCUCCACCUCCUCCUCCACCCCCAUCCAACCCAUCGGACAAGCAUGAUAAGGAAGGGGACGGCUCCUUGGGUGGUCAAAACCCUAGUGAUGUGGGGUCGCAGUCUAAGAGGAAGAAGAAAUCGUCAGUCCACAAGUUCUCGGCGAAGAGCAGGGCCUCCUCGGGCUCUAAGCAAUCGAUGACUGGUGUCUGCCCCCGCCUUGACAAGGACCUGGGAUCGAUGUCGCGCUCGGGCCCCGUUCCUGCUUCUACCAUGGCCCGGUCUCCUUUGAUUCGUUCGCCCACUUCCACGGCUCGCAAGGGCAAGCGGGUCAGCGAGGCGGGCGGAUCUAUCUUGGAGCGGGCGGAGCGGCGGGCUGCUGCUAAGGAUCUUCCCCCUUCAGGUAAUCAUCUUGGUCCUCUCCCCUCCUCUUCCCCGAUUCAGCUUUUUCUCUCGUCUCUUUCUGAUGACCACUUGUUAAAUAUUAUGUCUGAUGUGGGUGUGUCGGUAGAUACCGAGCUUCGGAAGGUGUUCGGGCUCCGGUCGAUGGUGUGGAGGUUGGUAGUCGCCAACCCCAGCCUUCUUCCAGAAGGGGCCCUAUUAAAAGAUCUAAACCCUGCGUGGCUCCUAGCAGAAUCCUUCUCCCCUAACGAACUUUCUGCCAUCGCGGGCAUGGAUAGAUUUGAUUGGCAUGUGCUACUUGCUUCCGAUCAUUCGGGAGAGAUCCUGAUUGGCUCAAAAAAGAUAUGUUCGAUUUCGUGGCCUUUGAUCAUGGUGUUUUCUGGGCUGGUGAACGCUUUCAACGACUUCAUUAGCAUCAAUGCUAUCCGCGAGCUACCUAGGAUUGGGGCCCGCUUCACUUGGUCUAACCAUCAGGCCAACCCGAUUAGAUCGGUACUUGCCAGAGUUUUUAUGUAUUCUAGUUGGGAUUCUCUCUUUCCUUGGGCCUCCCUCACCGCUAAAUGUAUCGUUGGCUCGGAUCACACCCCCCUUAUUCUUGAUGGUGGGCUACAUCAAGAUAGACCUCCUGCCAGAUUCCAAUUUGAUGCCUCUUGGCUGUUUGUUGAAGGGUUUUAUGAUUUGCUUGCCUCAAAGAUUACUCGUCUCCUAUCCACUAACCCUCGUUCCUUUGGUCCACUCGAUGAUUGGCACUUUUGCUCUUACAAUUUGCGCAAAUUUCUGAGAGGCUGGUCCUGUAAUCACGCUGCAGAGGAGCGUCGCUCGAAAGACGCUCUCGAACCUCAAAUCUUGGCCCUUGAUCAUUUAGCUGAUUCUUUUGGGCUCUCUGAAGAUGGGUGGUCUUUGCGAUACAAUCUUGAAUCAGCCUUGAUGCAUUUGCAUCAACAGGCGGAAAUUUAUUGGCGACAGCGGGGCACACUUAAUUGGACUCUAAAAGGGGAUUCCCCCAUGGCUUAUUUUUUUGCUAUCGCUAACGGUAGGAGGAGGCGUUGUGGUAUUAACAGCCUGAUCAUUAAUGGUGUGCGGUCUUCUGACCAACCUGUGAUCCUCUCUCACGUGGUGGAGCUCUUCUCUUCGUUAUUAGGGUCCAAACCUUCCUCGGGAUUUUCUAUCUCGCCAAACUUGUGGGACCACAACAUGAAAAUUUCGGCCGAUGAAAAUGCUGAGUUGUUGAUGCCCCUUUCUGAUAAGGAGACCUGGGAUGUGAUUAAUUCUGCUAACCCUAAUGCUACUUCCGGGCCGGAUGGCUUUUCGUUUCCCUUCUUCCGGAAGUUUUGGCCUCAGUUGAGGCAGUUGAUUUGUAAUUUCAAUGUUGGUAAGGGUACCUCGGUUCAUUUUUGGCGUGAUUGGUGGUGUGGUGAUACUCCUCUGGCAGUUAGCUUUCCGGUUCUUUUUCCGUAUUGCCCUAAUCUAGAGAUCUCCAUCGUGGAGGUGGCGGCUAAUAAUUGGGAUUUGGCUUUUCGCCAUUCCUUGUCUCCUGAAGAGUUGGAUGACUGGCAAAGACUCUCUGCCUUCUUCCCCCUGCUCUUGGAGACGCAUGAUACGGCUCAUCGAAGGUUCCCCUUCGAAUAUAUUUUCUUGCAUCUGUCGGUCCAAAGCUCCUCCUAA
rnacentral:rRNA from 1 species